CCCAGUCUUCUCUCCCAAUAUCAAACAAACGCAGCCCAAGAGGGGGAGAAAAGUGAACUGAAAUUUCAGCAUCAGUGUUUGAGUGGUGUCCCUCUGCGUCUCAUUAGGUAGUUGGAAUAAACGCGGCAGCAGUCAUGGAUGACCUUCCAGAAUCUUCCUCUAAAGGCACCAAACGCCGCCGCAUGGAUGAUUCCGCCGCCGACGCCGCAACCUCCUCGUCACUGCAGGACGAUCUCACAUUCAGCGAUACGCUCGUCGCGCUCCAAAUCAUGCGAGCUCAGUUCCCUGACAUUGAUAAGGUUUCAGUUCGGCCUUUUAUAUUAAAAUCCCAGUUGUAUAGCAGUGUAAAGGACAGAACGCAGGUGGACAGGGAAUUGGAGUCUCUAAGGAGGGACAAAGUUCUGCGUAUUUUCAAAUUAAAUACUGGACAAGAUGAUCAUGCUAUAAUGUUUUUGGAUGACUACAUAAAGCAGAUAGAUCAAGUUUUUAAAAGAAUGGAAGGAAAGAAAGAAAUGGAAUAUGAAGUUUUUGGGUGGUUCAAAAAUUAUGUUCUGGAUUCGAAGCUGGAAACUGGCAUUGAACAUCAGGAGCUUUGCUCACUCUUGUCACUUGGGGGGAAGGUGAAGGACAGCCACAUCACCCUUUUAAUUAAUGCCGGUGUCAUUAUUCGACAGCUUAUUGAUCCAAACAUGUAUUGGUUUGCAAUCCCAAAUGUUGGCACACUUCUUAAGGGUCUUGCUCAGGGUAGAAAUGAACUUAUUUCACUUCUCAGUCGUCGUAGAUAUAAGGAGAUGAUGUUAGCCACCUUGGAGAAGAAGCGUCUUCGAAUGUCUCCACUUGAUAUGAGAUUUCAUCUUCGUGACUUGAUUGGUUCCGGACAUCUGAGAACUGACCAUACACCAACUGGUUUAAUCAUUCGAGUCUCAAAAGAUUGAGAUUCAGAGAGUCCUAGAUGUGCUUUGAUCCAUCAAAUGAAUUCAUUUGAUCAAUUGCUCCUGUUAACUCUUAUUUUCAAGAAGAGGUUCAGUUAUCUAUGCUUUGGAUUUAGAUAUAAUUGGUACAACAACUUGGAUAAAAAUGAUAGCCACAUUUAUCCUUGUUGAUCAAUAGACCAGACUCAAAAUGGACCACUUGAUUACCUAUGUUACCGGAAUCAAUUAUGAACUAUCUGACCAGGUUGUGUGCUUUCAGGGCUGCUACUUUGAUUCUUAUUGGUAUGAGUUAUUUAUUUUGUAUGAAUCUCUGAGUACCCACGACCAGUUUUCUAAAUAUUCAAUUCAAAUUAUAGUUGGUUAACUUAAAAGUGAUAUCUGAUAUGAGAAAGUCCCAUGACCAAACAAUCAUUACCCAAGUUCUCUAGUUUUAAAUUGUUAUUUGGAGCAAAACUUCUAGUUCAUUUUAUUUGUCACUCUUACUACUUACCACUAAAUAUUUAUUACAAGAUUUCCAAUUUUAUUUUUUGCAUACAAUUCUCAGCACAAUUAAUGACACAAAGGGAAUUAGUUUAAGUGUAACAGAAGUGGGGUAAGUUUUGUCCGAACUUUACCCAUAAAGUCUAGCGUUAGGGCUUAAAGUUAAAUCUGAUAAGCUCACUCGGACAGAAGCCGUUUACAUUCCAGGUCAUAUGGUUUAGGUUUUCUCACUUAUCUUUUUCAAUUUAAAAAAAUGAAAUAUUAGUAUAAGAAUUAUAUAACAAAUCAUAGUUGAUAAAUAUAGGAUAUUUGGGUAAACAUAAUCUUAAUUAAUCAUUGCGGGAUCUUCUAGUGUAUGGUGUUGGACUGUUGGAUAAUACUUUUUUUAAUGAAGUGAACUUUCGCAUCUUUGAGGAUCAAAACUUAUUCGUCCGUUGGCUAUAAUUCGGCUUAGGUAAAACUAAAACUAUAAAUUGGAAUCAAUCUGGUUAAAACUAAAUACACACGUGCAGGAGUAUGUGGAGAGUAUGUGUUUUGCUUUCCUAACGAACUUAUCCUAUACAAUCAAAUAACUACGUGCCAACUCAGAUGGCACAGGAAUCUCUCCGCAAAUCUCUCUAAACAAGCUCACUAAAGAGCAGUUAUCACAUAAUUAUCCCACUAAAUAACAGUUCCACAAUAUCAGAGUAAUUGUACCACAACAAUUUCCACUAAAUAACAGCUCCACAGUACAGAACACGAUUCAUUCUGAGUCAUUUGAUAUUUAUCUUAUACUCUUACUAACUUGAGCGUUGGAGUCUCUUUACUCCCAACCUCCUCCUGUUCCUUGACGGCUGAAGUAUAGCUCGACAUCU